CCUACGGGAGGCAGCAGUGAGGAAUAUUGGUCAAUGGCCGGAAGGCUGAACCAGCCAAGCCGCGUGAAGGACGAAGGUGCCAAGCAUUGUAAACUUCUUUUGUCAAGGGACAAAAUCAGGCUCGAGAGCCUGACCGAGGGUACUUGAAGAAAAAGCAUCGGCUAACUCCGUGCCAGCAGCCGCGGUAAUACGGAGGAUGCGAGCGUUAUCCGGAUUGAUUGGGUUUAAAGGGUGCGUAGGCGGACUGUUAAGUCAGCGGUAAAAGCCCGGGGCUCAACCCCGGCGAGCCGUUGAAACUGGCUGUCUUGAGAUGUCGAGAGGUAUGCGGAAUGCGCAGUGUAGCGGUGAAAUGCUUAGAUAUUGCGCAGAACUCCGAGUGCGAAGGCAGCAUACCGGCGGCGAUCUGACGCGGAGGCACGAAAGCGUGGGUAUCGAACAGGAUUAGAUACCCGAGUAGUC
rnacentral:rRNA from 1 species